CUUGCUUAAUGUCAUUACGUAGUAAACACUAAAAUUAUGUUUACGGAUGUAUGAACUGUUAUACUUCGAUUAUUGCUUUUUCAAUAUUAGGUUGAACAUAUUCAGAGGACAAAAAUAUUCCAAGAAUGGAAGAGAGCGGAGAGAAACAAAACGCAGUGUCCGAAUGGUUUGCCUCCCUCGUCUUGUCAGCAGCCAAAGACCCAUGGGGCUUCAUAUACACGUUCUUUUUGUACAUGUCUCCUUUGCUUGUGGCAUCACUUUUUCUUUCCUUCAAACUGGUUAAAGAUCUCAAGUCUCAAAAGACUGAUAAGAAGAAAAAAGUCAAACGAGACAACAAAGGGAAAAAGAAAAAGACCAAAGAUGGCUGAUACUAAAGAAGACGCUCAUCAAAGGUGAUGUAAGUCAUUCUUUGAACUUCAGCAAAAUGGAAUUUUUCUAUGAUUACAUUUGUGUUUGUAUGUAAAAAAAAAACCAUCACUGAUUGUAAAUUACUUUACGACAAAUAGUGAUAUUUAUAAAAAAAAGUUUCCAAUAAUCCCAUCAGCCUUGUGAUUUUUAUUGCGUGUAGUAACACUAGGAAAAUUUUUUACUUCAUCCCGUUUUCAAAAUUUCAAUUAAGUUUCUUUUUAUGAGUAUGAAGGACUUAAAAAUACUCCUGGUCAAUUUUUUGUAAAAAACUAAUUUGUUACGGUCAAAUGAGAACAGUAUUAUAUAAAUUUUACUGCAGCCAACAGUAGAAAUGGGAAAACCUGUUAAUUUGCAGUAAUAAUCUGGAACGUUCCUUAAGUAUCUUUUUGGUAAUAGGUGUAAUAAUACUAUUAUUUUAGUCAACUAUUACUUCUUCAUCAAGGACGAUACAGCCGCUCGCCGUUAAUAGGAAGACAGGACCAGCGUUAUCUCACUAAUAACAGUUCAGACGACGUUAUAAAAGUAAUCGUAUUACCAAGGUACUAUAUUAUUUUGUGAUGCUUGCUAUUAAUAGGAAGAUGCAAUCAGCGGGAUGGUUAUUUCAUUCUUUCAGUUCAGAUGCCGUUAGUAAAAUGAUAGGGUAUUCUCAGUAAUCUAUUACCUAGGUUAUGUAAGUGAUACUUCGGUAAUAGUAAUAUUUAUCCUAUUAUUCCUAUUACGUCAAAUAACGCCCACCUCUAACUUGAAAAGAGUUAUCAAGUUGAUUUUUCCUUAGUUUCAAAUAGUAGUGUGGUACCAUAGAUAAAACAUAGUCCCUUAGCAGAUUUCCCAUCCUUAUAGAACAGCUGAAGCCGAUUUUAUUGUUAGUUCUGUCCGGUUUUCUGUAAUAACCUCUACUACUACUACUAAUUAAAUACCUCGUUUAACCAAAUAAAACUAUCUAAUCAUGAACAAUAACUCUUCCAUUAGCUUGAUAACCAAACAGUGAGACACAAAUAAUGAUAAACUAACCCUAAAAUAAUAGAAACAAAUUGUAAACAAAAUACGACAUCUACAGAAAAUUGGACAGAACUAACAAUAAAAUCGGCUUCAGCUGUUCCUUAAGGAUGGGAAAUCUACUAAGGGACUAUGUUUUAUCUAUGGUCGUACUAAAUUACUUUUGAUCAGUGAUGGUUUUUGUGUGUAGUUUUUAGUUUAUGGGUACUUUAGCACUGAUUUACAUUGUAUAGUAUAUUUAAAGUUAAUGCAAAGUGUUUUGUACUACAUUUGGUGUUAUAGUGAAUAUUAGUGUCACUGUGCACAGUGUUACCCCUCUUGAUAUGCAACCAGGCUUUUGGUCAUUGAUUUAACUGUUUAUUAUCUUUUAUAUUUAAGGUGGUAAGUUACUAUCAAAAUGAUUUACUAAAAGUUUUAUUUAGUUCUUUUAAGUCAUUAAAAGUUGAUUAAAUUAUAAGCUACUUUCAUUUCUGUAAAGAUUCUCUUCAACAGACUAUGCCCAUAACCACAGUUUGAAAUUCUCCAUAGGAUAAAAUAUAUUUAAACACAAUUUUAUUUACGUGUACGUAAUUGUUGUUGAACCUGAUUGUGAUGAAAUUUUGUACAAACAAGUUACAGGUAAACCAAUAUUUUUUAAAUUUUACAUAUAUGGUAAUCAUUAUUCAACACCUAAAAAUUACCGAACUUUUCAACUGGUAAAGGUAGUUCAUUGUCUCAUAAAUACCAAUCAAUUCUGCGACUCAAUAAAAUGCACUUUUCUAAAACAAAAUAAAAUAAAUUGCAUUUUAUUUUAAACAUUUGUUUGCCCUUGCCUCCAAAAAAUGAUGUAACCCUACUGAUCCAACAUUUUUGUAUGGAUUUUAAUCGUUCAAAUAUGCAGAUUCUGUAAUUUUCCAGGGGUAAGAAGAUUUAUUUGAGGAACUUUAGUAUCUCAAGAAUGGAAAGGUUGUGAUAAUAUUAAUAAAUACUAUUAUUAAUAGAAUAUUAUGGUUUUUGUCAAGUUUCAGUAAAACUCUCAUCAGUUUAAACUUGGACUUUCCAAAAUGAUAUUGAUUUUAUUUUUAAUGGACUGUACAAAGAAUCAGGGAGGUCUUCUUCAAGAAAGAUUAACGAGGAUUGGGAAGGGAGGCUGGCAUUGCCUAACAUUUUGAGUUGAUACUUAGAAAAGCCUGUUAUCUUGUUUUGAUGGUUAGAUCUUGGACCAAGCUUUCAUGAAUCGUAAGAGGUUUCGAGACCUUGAAUAGCACGUAGGGGUUUAAAAUCUUGACUAUAAAAUUGGCUGGUUCUUAGUAACAAAGAUCAAGGUAUUAUUCCAUCCUACGUUCAUAAAUUACACAAAUUAAGUAUAAGCUGUACUGAAAGUAUCAAAGAACCAACCUUUUUCUGUAGUCUAUAUUGGUGUAAGAUGUUGUAUGUUGUACAUUUUAGGUUUCUCAAUAAUUUUUCAAGCCGUAGCCUUGCAAAGGAAAAGUUAAAAUGAUUUGAGAAAAUUAUUUUAAGAAGUUUGAACAACAAAUUUUCCCCAGGGUAAAAAAAUCAAUGAGGUACAUUAUAAUGGAAGGUUUCAAGUUAUCUUGACUUCAAUGUUAAGCAAGAAAAACAGGUAUUACUGCCUUCACUCAGAUUAUGUUCUUCUAGUUAAGAUUUUGAAAUGUCGAAAGUACCUUGGACAGUCUGUAAAAUGGUAUUAGGUUAGUCAGUGGCUCAGUCAGUAGUGAGACAGACUACGAAACCGAGGUAGCAAUGCCGUGGGUUCGCAUCCCAGUGCUACCCUUGAUAUUUAAUAGUACAGUUCAUUCUUGUAUUUUAUUGGCUCACUUGUUCUUUUCUUGGUAAGUCAAAUGUACAGACCAGAGGCCUAUGUGGAAAGGCAAAUGCAAAUUUUAAAUUAUCUUGUAUACAAACAAAAUGCAGCUUCUGGGAAAUAUUAAGUGUUUGGAACUAUAAAAAACCCUAUGUUCAUUCAUGCUGCAUCACCUCUCGUGAAAAGAGAAUAUUGGUUAAAACUGCCAGGUCCCAGUUCUGGGAUUUAUCAACUUAAAUUUUAACUCUCUGUCUAAUCCAUGAUCUUUGCCUCCAUUUGACAAUAUCAUAUUCACAGUAUAUGAAAGCUUUCAUGGCCAGUGUUACAAUACCUUGAUUUGUUUUUGUGUCAACCGCAUCAGAUGACAUUUGCCCUUUCUGUUAAGUGGGUUGUUGGCUUUAGUUGCUAGGUUGAGUUUCAUGGCAAAGAUGGAGACAUCUGGCUUUGAUGAGUUGUGAUUCGGUACAUAAAACGAGAGAUGGAUGAAAGUACUGACUAGAAAGUAUUACUGUCUACUCAAUUAUUUAUUUAAUAAUUUUUAUUGUGUUCAUAAAAUGCCAAAACAAUCAUUGUAAAAAAUCUCAUUGCACUUACUUAUAAGAUUAGUAUUUUAAGUUUUGUUGUAUAAUAUAAAUUUGAUGCUAUACUCUACCUUUUUGUACUAUGUGUUCUUUAGUUAUGUAAGUAAUAUUUAUUCAAAUUUUGUACUACAGUAAAAAAGACAUAGCUUCUAUUUGCUAUUAGUUGUUUAUUUAGUGAUGCUUCUGUCAUCUUGGACUAAGUUAUGAGAGUGAAAUUUGAAUUAUUAUCACUGUAGGCGUGUGACAUGUUAAAUAUGUCUUAAAAAAUUAAAAGUGGUUAGAAAUAGUUCUAGCCAUGAUUAAACGUUGUAAAAAAGGUAAGAUUUACAUACAAGCACUUACCCACUAUGUUGUUAAUCAGGUCUUUUGGCCUUCACGCAGCCUUGUAUAAUAUAAUGAAAAAACAUGUAAUGAAAGAGAAAAAACAAUAAUUGUCAUAGCAUGAAUACAUUUUUCA